CUUAAUUCCUAGGACUUGGACUCCCGUGGUCUCUGAAACACCCCAUCAAGCAUUUCAUGCAAAAAAGAGAGUAAAAACUUCAGCGCCAGUAUUUUCAGUAUCUGGAGGUCCUUGAAAGAGUAGUCAGGUCAACCCUUUCUCUAAUARGAUUUUUUCCUGGCAGUUCAUUCCUGGGGGACCCUGUUUGCGUUUCUGCAAUAAGAACGACAACAGCCRGGUGAAUCUGCUAGCCCGGACGCCUGGAACCAUGUACCUUGACUAGGGCCUCUCUGGCGCAGCAGAAGUGCUCAGCGCUCUCCCGCUCAAGAUGCUGCCUGCGCCGGACCACUUCCUGCUCUCCCAAGCUAUGUUCGUUCAAGCUACCUAACKACACAGACGAAGCCUUCGUGUUGCCUUUCAAGGAAUAG
ensembl:lncRNA